GUGGGGAAUAUUGCACAAUGGGCGCAAGCCUGAUGCAGCGACGCCGCGUGGGGGAUGACGGCCUUCGGGUUGUAAACCUCUUUCAGUAGGGACGAAGCGCAAGUGACGGUACCUACAGAAGAAGGACCGGCCAAUUACGUGCCAGCAGCCGCGGUAAUACGUAGGGUCCGAGCGUUGUCCGGAAUUACUGGGCGUAAAGAGCUCGUAGGUGGUUUGUCGGGUUGUUCGGGAAAACCGGGGGAUUUGCCGGAAGCUUAAAGGAAUUGAGGGAAAAUCAAAGGAAUUGACGGAAACUCAAAGG
rnacentral:rRNA from 1 species